rnacentral:tRNA from 1 species
GCCCCUUUAGCUCAGAGGCAGAGCAUCUCCAUGGUAAGGAGAAGGCCUACGGUUCGAAUCCGUAAAGGGGCU